rnacentral:rRNA from 1 species
UACGAAGGGGGCUAGCGUUGUUCGGAAUUACUGGGCGUAAAGCGCGUGUAGGCGGGUCUUUAAGUCAGGGGUGAAAUGCCAAGGCUCAACCUUGGAACUGCCUUUGAUACUGGAGAUCUUGAGUCCGGGAGAGGUGAGUGGAACUGCGAGUGUAGAGGUGAAAUUCGUAGAUAUUCGCAAGAACACCAGUGGCGAAGGCGGCUCACUGGCCCGGAACUGACGCUCAGACGCGAAAGCUAGGGUAGCAAACGGG